GAUGAACGCUGGCGGCGUGCCUAAUACAUGCAAGUCGAGCGAACGGACGAGAAGCGUUCGUCUCUGAGGUUGGCGGCGGACGGGGGAGUAACACGUGGAUAACCUACCUAUAAUACUGGGAGAAAUUCGGGGAAACGGAGCUAAUACCGGAUAAUAUUUUGAACCGCAUGGUUCAAAAGUGAAAGACGGUCUUGCGGUCACUUAUAGAUGGAUCCGCGCUGCAUUAGCUAGUUGGUAAGGUAACGGCUUACCAAGGCAACGAUGCAUAGCCGACCUGAGAGGAUGAUCGGCCGCACUGGAACUGAGACACGGUCCAGACUCCUACGGGAGGCAGCAGUAGGGAAUCUUCGGCAAUGGGCGAAAGCCUGACGGAGCAACGCCGCGUGAGUGAUGAAGGUCUUCGGAUCGUAAAACUCUGUUAUUAGGGAAGAACAUAUGUGUAAGUAACUGUGCACAUCUUGACGGUACCUAAUCAGAAAGCCACGGCUAACUACGUG
rnacentral:rRNA from 1 species